rnacentral:tRNA from 1 species
GGAAGGGUCGCAUAGAGGCCGAGUGCGCUCGCUUGGAAAGCGAGUAUGCCGCAAGGUAUCGCGGGUUCGAAUCCCGCCCCUUCCG